GUAUUAGAGAACCACAGAAAUGGGAGAAAGCUGCUGUUAACUCCCUGCGUCCUGGUCUGCUCUGGCCUCCAGCCCCUUGCUGGGGACAUGCCGUGCCAUUUGUGGCUGCCUCUGCUGACUUUAAGGGGUUCGCUGAUUCUCUCAGGGUUUCUCAUCUGACAUCUGUCUGCACAACAGGGGUGAGUGCUCCCAAGCUGAACCUCCUGGAGAGCUGGAGGUGUUCAAGAGGGACUGUUCCUACUGUUCUGUGCUUCAUCUGCCUAGUUCUGGCAGAGUUAAAUAAGCAGCCGUCAUCCUGCCCUGGGUGUAUAUCUGCUCCCAGAUCCUGUGUGUAACUGAGAUCCUCUGCCAGGGACGCACAGCCCCCUCGUGCUGCCCAGACCUGAGCAGGCUCUUCUGAAGAGAUGCAAGUGAAGCUCUGGCUGCCAAGAGCUCUUCUCCUUCAGUUGUCGCAAAUGACAAAUGCAAAGUUAAAAAUUAAUUUGCUAAUGGGCUGUCGUUUGUCCAAGCAGUUGUUGUGUGCCCGGGCAGCGCUUCACCUUGCUGUGACCACGCCGGCGGUGCCGGUGCUGUGCCCCGCGGUGUGUGGCCUGAGCACACGAAGGCAGCUUGGCCAUCCUGGCCGGUUGGGUGGGUGUCGCUGCCAGGACUUGGUCUUGAGAGCGCUGCACGCAGACUGGGCCGUGGGUCCCUGCCGCUGUUUGACCCCUACCCCUGCUUUGCAAGGGAAGGAGCCCCCCAGGCUCUGAACUGAUGGAACAAAGUGGGUUUGGGGGACCCGGCACUGCAUCAAAAGUGACAUGGCUGUAGGACACUUAAGUUUGGCAUAGCGUGGCUUAGCUUAAACUUGGUUAAAAGACUGGUAAAUAUGCAGGCUUUAUGCUGAAAUGGGUAUUAUCUGUGUCUUUCUAACUCAGCUGCUGGCUCAGUUACCUGUUUUAAAGCUGGCAUAAUUUCCCUGUGAACCUGUAAGCUCGUUUGAGGGCUGGCUUGUGUCUCUUCUGCUGGGUAAUAACCUGUUCGCAGGCAGACCCGGGAGUUGACCAGCCUCUCCACAGCCAGCUUUCCAUUUCUGCGCCAUGGUUUCCAAGCAAACCCAUUAGCCCGCCAGGCUCCUGUCCCUCCCGGCAGCCUCCUGGUGCUGCUGGUCCCCUGCGCGGCUCCCAGCAUGGGGCCAUGCCGCAGUGGCCAAGUGGGGAGCUCGAAAUAAAGGCAGCAUGUGGUAAGGCAGGAGUUCUGACUGCAGAGCUGGUCACCCCUGUGCUUCCCUGCAGGGCUGCUUGCUGGGUUUUCUUGGCCGCUAGGUCAGCUCGAGCUAGUGGACUGUUUGGAGCCCAGUGCAAAUGGUCCUCACCAUUUUGCAGGCUAACCCCUGCUCCCCUGCCCUCCUCCUGAGAACUUUGCUCCUGGUUAGCAGCAGCUGCUUGAUGAAAGGCCUUGCCUGCCCUGCCCAGAGUUAAGUACAGGCUUACUCUUCUUUUAGUGAGCUUUGAAGCCUGGGGUCUGCUUCGUUCUGUGGAGAAGCUCCCAGCUGCCUUGCUCUUCGCAUUGUACCUCUGCUUGCCCGGGGGCUGGUGCACAGUUGCUAUUCCUGCCCACACCUAAUCCUGCCCGGUCAGGGAGGCAGGAUGCCUGGAUGCCAUCCUACAUGGUGCUUGAUUUGGAAAGAGCUCGCAGUGGUUGUGGCUCUUGCUCCGUCGUUUGCUACAAACAUUGAGUACCACUGGGAAAUAGCAGCGACAUGCACCGAGGUCCCAGGAGGAGUGGGGGCAGGAGAGAGAGGGGCUCUGCAGGGAGAACGAGAAGGGCCUGCAGGGUAGGGCACGAAUUACCAGGGAGCCCAGGAUCACGUGAGAAACAAAGCAGUAGUUAGAGCUUCAGUUUCCUCUUCUUUGUUAAUCUCUUGAUAUGAUCUUUCUUAGGAAAUGCUGUACCUAGGGAAGAGAAGAGUCAGGGACUGGGUCUGAAAGCUGUGAGUUGCUUCUUGCGGAGUAGGACAUAUUUCCCAAAAGUCCCAAGUCCAGCUGGGCUUCCAGGGCCAUUGCCCUCCUGCGAGGGUGGGAGAGAGGUGGUGCUGCUGGGAAUGGCGCUGGGCCGGCACGCUCCCUGGCCUUUAGAUGGGUGCCUGGUGCUCGCAGCAGAGCAACCAUUUUCUCUGGGUCGAUGUAAAUAAUCGGAAGGAGCCAUCCAUCUUCCUGGAGGCGAUGAGCACAGCGAACUGACAGCUCAGGGAUGUUGCAGCGUCUCUCAUCUCUGACGGCCUUGUGUGGUGCAUGCUAAUGAAGCCUCCCGGCUCCUGCCUGGGCGGUGGUGACCCUGUGCUGUGCCCCGAGGUCUGAGGUCACCUCCUGACAGCAGGGGUUGAUUUUUUGCCGUCUCUUCUCUCUCCCUGUGCUCCAGUGUCUGGUACAGCAGUCUGGGGGACCAGAGCCUGUCUACGGGGAAGCCUCAGUCCCAGCAGUGGCUCCUUCAUCGAGAUGCGGGGGCUAUGCUGGGGAAGGCAUCCAGCAGGCCUGUGCUCUGACAUCAGCUCCCUGUUGCCUGUCUUUAGAAAGGUUUUUGGACAAUUGAGAAGUAGGUGUCUGAAGUGGGGUGAUGGGUUGGCUGGGAACCAGCUCAUGGUGGUGGAGCCAGGGCCCCAAGGUGCGCAGGACAGCAGGGAGAAGGCGAGUUUAGCCGAGACGGGGGACUUGGCAGUCCCCAAAGGUGGAGUCGGCACCAAAGGCAGAUGAUGCUGUGGCUGUGAGCAAAGGCAAAUGACUUUUGCUGUCAUACUCACACCCAAGAAAUUUAAAAUAUAAUAAUGAUUUAUUGCAGUAUUGGCACAUUGAGAUGUAAAUGCAAAGAGAUGAAUGAGCGCGUUGUGAAAAGGUGGCCUGUUGAAACAGGACGGUUCCAGUAAGAUUAGGGACAAAUUACUCCAUCCCAUCCACAGCAUUAUCUGCGGUGCUGUUUGCAUGGGGCUGUUUACCCACCCGAUGGCACAGGGUACAGAGAGGUGCGUUUCAUGUUUGUCGUUCUGUGUAUCCCCGGCGGGGGAUCAGACUUUUGCCAGCCUGGCCGUAGCGUGCUCCCGUGAUGAAAGCAGCCACGUGCGUAUUUACCGAUGGACACGCUGAACCCCCGUGUCCGCUGCUGGCCUUGCCCCGUCAGAUAGGAGACCUUCCAGGGUCCCUGGCCCCCGAGCAGCCGGCGGUUGCUCUCGGAGAAGGGUUGGCCUGUCACAGGACAUGUUUUUUUUUCCCCUUCUAACCAAAACACGAGUAAUCCUCUGGCAAUCCGGUUUGGGGAAGUGGCCGUGCCGUGCAUACAGCCCUCCCCAGUCUCAGCGCUGUGCACCACCUUUCCCCCAGAGCAGCCCUGUGCUGCUGGUGUUCCUCAAGGAUGGGGCCGCGGGGGCGCGGCGAAGGGCUGUGCGCGGCAGGAGGUGCCCGGGCGAGGGCUGCGGUGCCAGCCCUGCCAAAAGCUGUCUGGGAGAUGGCCAUCCCCAGCGGCGCCUGCCUGCUGCUUGAGCCGGGCUCUGCCCCGAGCCUGUUUCGCAAGAUGGCCCGUGGUGGGAUGGGCUCGGCCGAGGGCGGAGCUGUUAAACCCGUUUCACCACUGCAGGCACCGCAGGAUUUCUCCACUAGGGCCUGGGUUAUGUUAAUGGCAUGGCUCUGGAGCCGGGAGCUCGGCUGCCAAGAGGCGGUGGAUGCCUAGGGACAGGCGGGCAGAGGGGUCUGUGCUGCUGCAGGGCAGCCCCUGGGCUGCAGAGAACUGUGAUGAGCUGGAGGUGGGUAUAUCCACCUCCCUGAUUUGUAGCACCCUGCUGGUCUUUGAUUUUCUUAUUUAUUUGGUUUUUAUCCCCCAGCUCUGAAGGCUACCUUGGCUCACGGGGCAGGCCACCAAGUGCCCUCCUGAGGGUAGGAACCAUAAGCAGGGCAUCCAGGAGGCAGGCAGGAGUGCCUGCUGUGCCCGCAGCGUGCGGUCCGUGCCCCGAGUCUCGGCUGCUCAGCUCACCCCGUACACCCGCACCUUCUGCAAGUGGGCCGGGUGCCCUCCGAACAGGGGGGGCGCGGGGGCCAGCUUGUGCUGGUGCUCUGGAGGGGAGCGGGAAGCCUGUUUGUGCCUUCCCACUGCCCCGAGCCGUGCAGCUGGCAGGAAGGGCAGGCUUCCAGCAUGGGUCCUGUGAGAGCUCUGCUGCUUUGCUUCCAGACCCUUAGGAAAAAUUUCCUCUGACCUGAAAGGAUCCUGGCAAAUCUGAAGUUAAAAGGAGCUUUUUGUAUGGAAAUCAGGUGCUUGUGUAUCUGCAUGUGAAAUUACCCUUAAAAUGGAGAGGCUGAAAUUGCUCUCCAGGUGUUCACUUCUCAUCAGAGCUGCCAGAGUCCUGCUGCUCCAUCCGCAGGAGCAGGAUGCUUUUGCAGGAGUGGCAGAGGGCCGGUGCCACCUCCUGCCCCUCUGUGGCUCCCGAACAGGGCGGUGGGCGUUCGCUGGGGCACUUGCCCCCGGGUAGGGGUUUGCAGGGGUUGGCGGUGCCAGCCCUGGUUUGUGUCGGCCCCCAGGACUCUGCUCGUCUUCCCCAUCACGGCCGCAUCCUCCUGCCCUCGGCAUCCGCCCUGUCCUGGGUGCCAGAGCUGGGUUCCCUGGGAGGGGCUGGCCCCGGGGGGGCUGGUGGUGACCCCAGCAGUUGCUCGCUGAUGGGGUUUGAGGUCGUUAGCUGAACCUGCAUGCACCAGUGCCAUCCCGUGCUGCGUGUUGCAGGGGCAGCACCCCAGCUGUCCCCAGAAACCCUCUCCUCCUUCCUGCCAACUCUCCCCAGCGCAAGGGCUGUGGCCAUGUCCUCAGAUAACUCCACUGGCCCCUCCACAAAGGACAGCUAAACUUUUUCUGGGAAAAUGAUGCCAAGUGGCUGACAAACAGGUAUUUUUCCCUUCCUCACUGGGCCUGCGGGGUUGGGAUUGCUGGCAGCUGGGGCGCUUGCAGGCUCUCUGCGGGCGCGGAGCCAUUCCUCGUGCCGGGAGAGGGGUCCCCCGGCCAGCAGCACCUUCUCUGGGGCUGGGCAAAGCGACCUUCUCUGAAGGACGUCCUCUCUCCUCUGGCUCCGCUGUAUCCAGCUAACAGCUGAGAGCCUUGGUCUGGCGGCCGGGCUGCCCUGCUUGGUCUUUCACCUCCUGAGCGCUCGCUGCCGGCUGUUCAUGCUGACUCCGCAGUGUUGCAAGAGCUGAAGCUGCCGGUUAAAGUCCGGGUAAACAGGUUGCAAAGCCCUGGCGAGGGAGGCGGGGUUGGAAGGAGCUGCUUCUCCUGGCAGUGGGGUGAUUUAUUUGGAUAGAAUAAAAUUUCUACUGGAGUAAAAUGGCAUGGGGAGAGGAUGCGUGACAGCGGAGCCAGACCUCGGAUGGGUCUUGCUUCCAGGGAGGGAGGGGGCUGCAGGCAGGUGGUUUGUGCUGCUCUGUCUCUCUGCAGGCAGAAGAGAGCAGGAAAAAAUUGCCCCAAGCCACAGAGUGCACCCUGCUGGGUGCCCCUUCCCGUGGGAUUUGGGUCAGAGCAGCACCAGGGGUGCAGGCAGCACACGUCCCCGAGCAGGGCAAGGGAGAAGAUCCUCCUCUCGGUGCCUUUCCCUCUUCCCCUGCCCUGUGAUUUGUGUCUGUGCAGCUGCCGGAGGAGUCUCGGAGCUGUGCAGCAGCAGCAAGGCAGCCUUUGGGCCCGCUCCCCUGCCCUCAUCUGUCCCAGUGAGCGGUGACAGAAGUGAUCAGGAUGCCAGUGUCCAGCCGUGCCCCGGCCGCUCUGUGCAAGCCCUGGCGUGUCCCCUGCCGCAGCCGAGGCGAUGGGUGUGCUGCGGUGUCCCAGGGAGGCAGCCACUCUUGUGGUGGCUCUGGGAUGGGGACAGCUUUUGUGUCCAGCUACCUGGUUUGCCGCGGGGAGCCAGCGCAGAUGCCCUGUUCCUCCUUCCUCGGCUCGGGUUGCCCCAGCACCCCAGAGGCUGCUGGUUCCCGGGGGGGCACACUGUCCCUUUGCCAGGGCACUUCGCAGGCUCCAGGACGCCUGUGGAUGUGGCUUUGCCCCCAGGAUGUCAGGCAGAGCCUCCCUGCCUCCCACACACGGACAAACAUCCUUAAUCCUGGGGGCUGCCGAGGCUGUGGGCAGGUUGCAGGAGGUGCAGCAUCGUUCCCCGUGCUGUUUGGUGCAGCUGCCCCUGGACUGGUGCUUGUCCCAGCUGCUUCCCUGCUGCCCAGCUCUGGGGGAUGCUGGGGCAGCAGCUGGUGCUGGGGAACCGAGUGGGAACAUCUAUGGCUCUUAUUUUAAGUGUCCAGCACUCCAGGAUUGCAGCACAGGAGGUGGGAGGGAGGUGGCCUUGCCAGCCCCUGGGGCAUUUGCGUGGCAGCGGGGCUGGUGGCACAGCAAUGUGUAGCGGUGCAGAGGGGUGCCAGCUGGCGCUGGGCUUUUCGAGGACCAUUACACCCAGCUGAAGGAUGCUGCUCCUCAGCACACUGCUCACUGGGGACCCGCCAGCUGCUCCCGCAGGAGCUCUUUGGCUUUGCAGCAGAAAUUACAGUGCCUGGCCAGCCCUGUGCCAUGGCACCAGCAGUGUCUGCCACCUCUGACCUCAGACGUGCCAAGGCUGGGAGAGAGUUGAGGGGCAGCGGGAGAGCUCUGGGGGCCCUAGGGAUGGGGGCUGUCCUCCUGAGCUGCCCCGGGUGAGAGCCGGCAGCUGGCCGCAGCGCCGUGAGCUGGCCCCGCUGCGGCUGCCAGUGGCUGCCUCCCACGCUGCUGAAGCACAGGGUGCCGCGGAGGCGUAAAGGCCGGUGGUGGUCGCCCAUCGCCGCCUCCCGGGAUGCGCCUGCCUCGCCCAGGCUGAGCAGCUACGGCCCCUCCUGGGAACGCAGGGGGAAACAAGGAGCCUUUGUGCGCUGCGGCAGAGCUGGGCUGGCCUCGUGCCCCAUCCCAGCACCCUGCGAGGCUGGAAUGCUGCUGGGCUCGGCUGGUGGGUCCUACCCUGGGGAUGGGGGGCCAGCACUCGGUGCUAUGGUGUCCCUAUCCCUGCUGUGCCUGCAGGAGGAGGAGGAGGAUACUCUUGGAGCGCAGGGCUGGGCUUUCCCAUUGUCCCAGGCUGUGCCGAGCCCUGGAAGAGCUUCUUGGCUGCCUCGGGGAGGAUGAGCGCGGCCUGCUGCUGCUUCUGCCUGGGUGGAAAAAAACAGGAUAAGGCUGCUUUAAGGUGG